UGGGGAAUUUUGGACAAUGGGCGCAAGCCUGAUCCAGCCAUGCCGCGUGCGGGAAGAAGGCCUUCGGGUUGUAAACCGCUUUUGUCAGGGGAAGAAAUCUUCUGAGUUAAUACCUCGGGAGGAUGACGGUACCUGAAGAAUAAGCACCGGCUAACUACGUGCCAGCAGCCGCGGUAAUACGUAGGGUGCAAGCGUUAAUCGGAAUACUGGGCGUAAAGCGUGCGCAGGCGGUUUUGUAAGACAGAGGUGAAAUCCCCGGGCUCAACCUGGGAACUGCCUUUGUGACUGCAAGGCUUGAGUGCGGCAGAGGGGGAUGGAAUUCCGCGUGUAGCAGUGAAAUGCGUAGAUAUGCGGAGGAACACCGAUGGCGAAGGCAAUCCCCUGGGCCUGCACUGGACGCUCAUGCACGAAAGCGUGGGGAGCAAAACAGGAUUAGAUACCCUGGUAGUCCACGCCCUAAACGAUGUCAACUGGUUGUUGGGAAGGUUCCUUCUCAGUAGCGUAGCUAACGCGUGAANUUGA
rnacentral:rRNA from 1 species